AAAGUCGUAACAAGGUUUCCGUAGGUGAACCUGCGGAAGGAUCAUUAACACUCCAAAACUCUCAUAGCUCUGGGAAACCAGAGUUUAUGAAACCCUAUUCACAUUAGCGAACCCGGCGGGAAAUGCAGUGGCGGCCUUGCAAAAGGUCAAAGCUACAUUUCUUAGCUACUUUCUUUUGUCCAUUUUUUACUUUAAACCCCAAUCAUUUCUUUUUAUGUCUGACUGGAAGACCUAGUCUUCCGUUGCUCUUUACUCUAACCGGUAGAGGCAAUGAAAACUACUUAAAAAAACAAAAAAACAACUCUUAGCAACGGAUAUCUUGGUUCUC
rnacentral:misc_RNA from 1 species